CAGUGAGGGAAUUAAGGACAUGUUGUCCUUGUAACAGGGAUCCAGCAGGGUGGCCACCCAGUAAUCAGCACAAGUUAGAAUGUGGGCAACACGGCAGUCGUUGCGCAGGCACUUUGAUGACUCUAGAUAACCUCGGGCCGAUCGCACGUCCCCGUGACAGCGAUGACGCAUUUGAAUGUCUGCCCUAUCAACUUUCGAUGGUACUUUCUGCGCCUACCAUGGUGACCACGGGUAACAGGGAAUCAGGGUUCGAUUCCGG